rnacentral:rRNA from 1 species
CCAAUAGCGUAUAUUAAAGUUGUUGCAGUUAAAAAGCUCGUAGUUGAAUUUCGGGAUCAAUGGGUUGGUCAUGCCCUCGGUAUGUACUGAUUUCAUUGGUUCUCACCUUCUAAGGAACCAUGAUGUCAUUCGUUUGAUGUUGUGGGGAAUUAGGACUGUUACCUUGAAAAAAUUAGAGUGUUUAAAGCAGGCUAACGCUUGAAUCCAUUAGCAUGGAAUAAUGAAAUAGGACAUCCGAUUCUAUUUUGUUGGUUUCUAGGAUCGAUGUAAUGAUUAAUAGGGAUAGUUGGGGGCAUUAGUAUUCAAUUGUCAGAGGUGAAAUUCUUGGAUUUAUUGAAGACUAACUACUGCGAAAGCAUUUGCCAAGGAUGUUUUCAUUAAUCAAGAACGAAAGUUAGGGGAUCGAAGACGAUCAGAUACCGUCGUAGUCUUAACCAUAAACUAUGCCGACUAGGGAUCGGAUGAUGCUUAUUUUUUAAUGACUCAUUCGGCACCUUACG